GCCAAAUGAAGAGGAAGAGGUAAGCUUGGCAAAUCGAAUAAAUACAAGGAAAAAAAGUCAAGUGUUGGUGCCAAACUACUUAGGGUGUAGUUUAGGGACGAAGUUAAUGUUGGUUUAUUGGUAGGUUUCGAUGUUGGCUGGUUUAAGGCAGGUGCAUGCAUGAUUCCAUUAAUUUGCAUUGUCUGUUACCGCCAUCUAGUGGCCGUAUCGAUCCCUACAGUUGGAUUUCCCAUCAAUACUUUUUUUUUAAGAAAGGCACUCCUGGAACUUUGAGCCGACUUUGUACUUCGAUCGAGAUAGCGGCCUUGUUGUACAUCGGGGCCAAAAGAAGAGCGAUGCCAUCUUUGCCGGAGGGAUUCUCACAGGGCGCCAAAGAGGUUGCUUGACGAGUGACCAAAGACUGCGGCCAUCUGCAGACCAACCGCUCCGACAUUCAUUCAUCCCAAGGAGCAGGACCGGGGCGACUUCUUGUACAGCUCAGAAAAAGAGCGUCGGUGGUCACCCAGAUGGACUCUGGAGGUAACAAGUUCUUACAAAAGCUCAAUUCGAGGGCGUGUUUUGCCAGCUCGUGUUAGAAGACUGCGUUGGAAUUAUGCUUUGAGCGUUCGGAAGAGCGGAAACGUACAAGCGGAGCACUUUUACGAAAACCGCAAAAUCCGGUUGACUUUGUACAAAUCACUUGGUGCCAGUCAUGACAAUUCGGGUCUGUGGUCGAGUUUCACAGAGGGUUGAUUCGAUUUUGGAUCAACCACAAGACAAACGGAGUAAAAUUCUCCUGUUUGUGGGUUCGAGCUCAUGUGCUUCUUCCUCACACUUUUCCAAAAUUGCUGUUCAAAUACAAGACGGCGUGGCACCACCCCAAUUCAUUGCGGACGCGGUAAUCCAACGUUUAGUGACUUGAAUAUAAGUCUCGUUUUUCAAAAUUCAUCUUCAAGAGGUUGGAGGAGAAUCAAGCUGACAGAAGAGUCGCCCGGUUUUCAUGGCAAGAUUUCAGGAAGAGAGUUUAAUGUCAACAACUGAUGCGGAGACAACGGUUAUUGCAAAUGGACCAAAUGGAUCAAGGACGACAACUCUACCAAAUUUGCCCAGAGGGGAGGGGAAAGAGAUU